GACGAACGCUGGCGGCGUGCUUAACACAUGCAAGUCGAACGGAAAGGCCCUGCUUUUGUGGGGUGCUCGAGUGGCGAACGGGUGAGUAACACGUGAGUAACCUGCCCUUGACUUUGGGAUAACUUCAGGAAACUGGGGCUAAUACCGGAUAGGAGCUCCUGCUGCAUGGUGGGGGUUGGAAAGUUUCGGCGGUUGGGGAUGGACUCGCGGCUUAUCAGCUUGUUGGUGGGGUAGUGGCUUACCAAGGCUUUGACGGGUAGCCGGCCUGAGAGGGCGACCGGCCACAUUGGGACUGAGAUACGGCCCAGACUCCUACGGGAGGCAGCAGUGGGGAAUAUUGCACAAUGGGCGGAAGCCUGAUGCAGCAACGCCGCGUGCGGGAUGACGGCCUUCGGGUUGUAAACCUCUUUCGCCUGUGACGAAGCGUGAGUGACGGUAAUGGGUAAAGAAGCACCGGCUAACUACGUG
rnacentral:rRNA from 1 species